rnacentral:rRNA from 1 species
AGAGUUUGAUCAUGGCUCAGGACGAACGCUGGCGGCGUGCCUAAUGCAUGCAAGUCGCACGCACGCCUCUUCGGAGGCGUGAGUGGCGCACGGCUGAGGAACACGUGGGCACCUGCCCUCCCGUGGGGGAUAACGCGGCGAAAACCACGCUAAACCCGCAUACGCUCGACGCUUCGGUGUCGAGGAAACCGUGAAAACGGGCGGGAGGAGGGGCCUGCGGCCCAUCAGGUCGUAGGUGGGGUAACGGCCUACCUAGCCGAUGACGGGUAGCUGGUCUGUGAGGACAACCAGCCAGACUGGGACUGAGACACGGCCCAGACUCCUACGGGAGGCAGCAGCAAGGAAUUUUCCCCAAUGGGCGCAAGCCUGAGGGAGCAACGCCGCGUGGAGGACGACGGCCUUCGGGUUGUAAACUCCUUUUGGGGGGGACGAUGAUGACGGUACCCCCCGAAUCAGCCCCGGCUAACUCUGUGCCAGCAGCCGCGGUAAGACAGAGGGGGCAAGCGUUGUCCGGACUGACUGGGCGUAAAGCGCGCGCAGGCGGUCGGAGGCGUCGGUGCUGAAAGCGCGCCGCUUAACGGCGCGAUGCGUGCCGAUACGCUCCGACUGGAGGGUGGGCGAGGGUGGUAGAAUUGCCGGUGUAGUGGUGAAAUGCGUAGAGAUCGGCAGGAAUACCAGUGGCGAAGGCGGCCACCUAGCCCGCACCUGACGCUGAUGUGCGACAGCGUGGGGAGUGAACUGGAUUAGAUACCCAGGUAAUCCACGCCGUAAACGAUGCCGACUCGGUCUCCGUGGGGCAACCGCCCUGGGGGGGCCCGAGCUCACGCGCUAAGUCGGCCGCCUGGGGACUACGAGCGCAAGCUUAAACUCAAAGGAAUUGACGG